UGUAACAUAAUAGUAGGUUUCAUCUGAUGUGAUUCUUGUUGCAAACUUAACGCUACAUGCAUAUUUCUUUAUUCGCAGUUGAAUCUGAGGGAUCUUGAAUGCCAUGCUCUCAGUUUUGGAACUCCGAUUAUCCCAAAGAAGGCAGAGUGUGACAUUGUAGAGAAGGCAGAGUGUGACAUUGUAGACAACACGAAGAGCUGAAAAUUGAAUUUUGAAGUUGACAAGGGUUGUCGUGUUUCUUCAAUGUAGUUUAUUUGUGUAUCACCUUAAUAUUUCUGCCUUCUACGAAAAAGACCUAAUAUUUUGACUUGCAUUUGUAUUUUUCUAUUUAGUUUGCAUUGUAACAUAGUUGUAACGUAGCAUUUAAACAUUAUGUUUUACAGUAGGUCGUCGUGGGAACAUUUCAAUUUUGCAUUAAUCAAUUUUAUUUAAUUCUCCUGCAUAUGUUUUAACCCACAUGGGGUUUCAAUAAACGUAAUUAUUCUAUAGAACGACUUGUUCGACUCUAGAAAUAGUUCCUUCAAUGAAUUAACGGUAAGCUCUUAAUGUGACAAUAAUUUUGUUCAGAAUGGGUGGGUAUCCAAACAAUGAAUUUUCGCGUUUACCGUGGACUUUAGAAGCUAGAAAUUAGAGAGGUAGGUGUGGCCUAAUUCAGAUAACAAACAUGCACUAAGAAUUGUACGGCUAUUCAUUCAAGAUGGGGGUAACGUCUAUUAUUGAUAACUAUUGUAGCUCGAUUGAUUUAACAGUUUCAAAUAAUAGGUAAAACAAAAGAAUGCGUAGAAUAUAAGCACUAGUGCCAUAACGUUUGUGUAUCGUAUCCCUCAAAAAAUAAAAAAAUUGUGUACUGUCAUUGGAUUUUGUUAUGUAGAUUUAUGUCAAUAUAACCCUGGAUAGUAAAAACUGACACAAUUAAUCUUAUACGGUAUUAUGUGUUAAUAUCAUUCAAAAUAUUAAAAUGAAGAAAGAAAGCUAUUUCAUAUUCUCUGACAACAUGAAAUUGUUUCAUCAUGAUAUUAGACUUGGUCGAUCUGUUUGUGUUACACCCGAGAACACUCCCGAGACCAGGACCCAACUUUUACACCAGGGAACACUGUUUUCUUAAGCAUCGUCAGUUAGCACUAUGUUAAGAUGUUUAUUUUUUUGCGUUAAAUGCGUAUAAAUUACGAACCAUAAUUUUUAUAAAAUUUUGAUUAAAAUUAAUUUGAUUUUAAUUAAAAUUAUAGAUAUCGAUAAUAAAUAUUUUGUAAUUUUAUAUCGUAAGAAACUAUACAACAAAUAUAAUAUUUUGAAUGACAGAAAUAAAAUAACAUUCUCAUAGUCAAAUUUGCUUAAGAAUAUAAUUAGAAUGAGAAAAAGACCGUCCAAAACGUCUUAUUUUCUUUACAUAUAUUAGACUGAUUAAGAGCAUGUUUGAGAUUUUUAUUAAUGAAUUCUAAUAAUUCUUGAGAUACUUAGGGUGUGUUUGGUGUAGAAGAGAAGUUGUAAAGAGAGAAAUAGGUAAGAGAGAGAGUGAGAAGAGAGAAAGAGAUGAGAAAUAUAGUAAAUUUCAUGUAUUGUUUGGUAGAAGAGAAAGAUAAGAGAAAUAGAAGAGAGAGAAUUGUGUUUACUUUUUAAUAGACAAAAAUACCCUUUAUUUAAUGCUCAAUAUACAAUUUUAUAUUUUAUAAAACCUACUAAUCUUCAACGUUUUUUUUUUAUACUUUUUUUUUAGUCUUUCACAACGAAAAAAAAAUGAAAAUAUCCAUGAAAAAAAGUUUCAGCAAACUAAAACUACCACUUAGAAAUUGAAAGAAAAAUUCAUCAUACAAGACCAAAAUACAUUAAAACUGAAACCCAAAACCAAUGAAAUUUUUAGCUUUCACUAAACUUAUAACGGGAAAAUAGAUACAUAAUAACAUAAAAAAUAUAUAUUAAUAGGAAAUUCAACAAAUGAUGUGCAAAAGAAAACAUAAAAAUGGCCGCACUACAACAGGUGAAGAGAAAGGUAGAGAAAGACAAAGUAUAUAGAGGUGGUACAAGGUAAAUACAGGAGAAAGAGAAAAGGGUAGUAAUGGAAAUAGAUGAAAAAAUGGCCUUCAGCUCACUUUCUUCGCUGCAUUGAAGAGAAAGAAAAAGGUGGUAGGUCCCACGUAAUUCUUUCUCUCUUCUCUAUCUCUAUCAUAAACCAAACAGGAGAAGUCAUCUAUUUCUCUCUUCCCUAAAUCACCUCUACCAAACACAGUGUUAGUAAUUUUUGAAAUUAAAUCCUCAAAAUAAUUAAUUUUUGCCAAAAGGGUGUGUGUGUCAGAGAGAAAGAAACACUGAAAUUGAAGGAGAGCGUUACUGCAGGUCUUGUCCAUUUGUUAUUAUUGUAUCGUCCCUCUCAGAAAAUCCACAUGCCAUGCCUUGUUGCCUAGUCAAAAUACCAAUACAGCCAAAAACACAUAAAAUAAAAAUUUCUAAAAAUCAAGUCCUUUACAACAAGAUCUCAACCCAACGGCUAUAUUUCCUUACCUCACUUCCAUUAUUCAAUUUCAUUAACAAUCAUUUCCCUCAUUAACAUUUUGGAUUCCUAUAACGGUCCAUCCAUCCUCAUAAAACCAUCAAAUCAUAUUAACAUUUUUCUCACAUUUUUCUUACUCUCUUGCAAUGGAAACUAACAACUCUACUGCCCCAACAACUACCUCUGCUUCUUCUGCUACUACUGAUGCUAAGGUUCAACGAGUAACAAAGAAAUCUUCUGACGAGCUACUAAGGAAAUUUGCUGAAGUGGGUACCAAUGAGAAGAAAGAGUUACGUCUUAUCAAACGCCGCAAAAAGAUGAAGGAAAAUCAAUCUGAGAGCUCUUCAAACGGCAGCACAGCCGUCGUGGAAAGGAGGUCGCUUUUGCCGGCAACAGUGAGCCGGAAGUCUGUGCUCCGGCAGCUCAGGGUUAGAGAUAACAGAAACAAGUCAUCACUCUUGGGAACCAUUCACAAGGUGAAACCCCAAUUAACAUUUUUUCUUAGUCUUUUGUUUUACACAUUUUCAUAAAACUUACCGUUAAAUAAAUCUAAAUUACCUCGACGAAUUAAUCUAUACAAUUCGUGCGAUGAGAGUAAUUGUUUUGAAUCACUUUCUUAUUGUUUUGUUAAUUACUAUACUUUGUUGCAGACAUGGCGUAGAACUGUAGAAGGUGCCUCUAGAGUUUUCAUGGAAAAGCAUUAUAACCGUCAUAAGCGUUUGAUCAAUGAUAUUGUUUAGGCUCUCUGUUGAGUUCUUGAAUAAUUUACAAGCUAUGCAAACUCCUCAUCAGAUGAAAGCAAUGCCCACCUUUAUGUAUAUUGAACUAUUGGUUUCAUUCAAUUAUUAUUCUUUUUUCUAAUUGUAUUCUUUUUACUAAUUGUAUUCUUUUUUACCUCAAGUAUCAAUUAAAAUGUAUUCAUUUGACUCUGUUUGCUUACAAUUUAGUACAAACCGACCUUGCAUGUCUAUACAACAAUAGCAAAUUGCCAGAUUGUAUGGCAUACACUUUGAUAGUUUACACACUAAUAACAAUUGUUCAAUCAUAUCUUAUUACAUGAUACUAAGAUAUAAUUAAACUUAACCAAAUAAUUGAACUCAAAUGAUCAAUGAACUUCAGUUAAAGAUGAAUAGUUAGAGAAGAGUCUCUGAAUCACUUUUUUUUUUUUUUUUUUUUUCUUGGAGGGCGAUUCUAAUGGUAUGGUACAAUAUAUCUAGGUGUUUGGGCUGGGAGUUGCUGCCACACUCGAGAAUUUUAGGUAGUUUAGAGAGCUUUGUAGGAUUGGGGUCUAGUAAGAAAAUUAGGGUAGGAUCAUUAUUGGUUUUGCUUGCUGUUGUGUGGGCGGUCUAGAACUCCUGCAAACGAUAUUAUCUUCGUGUGAGGGACUCCGACUGUCAAGUUUUUAGUGGAUUGGGUGAAGUUCUCUUCCUAAAGUGGUUCCUGGGAAAGAGUUAUGUCCGCCUCUACUCUUUAUAUGAGUGGGAGGCGCAACCUGUCCUCUCCUCCUUACACGAGUGCUAGCAACACACACUCUCGUUGAUUAGUUAAAUUUUAUUAGUCCAACACAAUCGUGUGAGUCUCAUAACAACUUUACGAGACCAUAUGAAUUUUAAUCAAUAAAAUAAAAUAGGAUAGAUAUUCACUUUUCAAUUGAGUUGUGGGACCAUUCUAGCAGCAAACUCUUUACAACAAACUUUAUUUGAUUGGUUAAAAUUCACCUAGUCCCUCAAAAUUGUUAUGAGACUCACAUGAUUUUGUGGGACCCAUAUAAAUAUUAAUCAAUAAAAAAAAUGGUUAAAUGCACUCACUUAUUGUUUAGAUGGAUUAUUUUAUUAAGUUAUAACUAAAAAAAAUGGUUAAAUGCACUUUGAAAUGCAUAUUGCUAAAACACUUAUUUAAAAACUAAAUGAUUGUAUGUUAGCAAUUCCUAUAGACAUUUGGUAGAAUACUGUUUACUGGUCGAAAUUACAGGCUAACAAAUACAUCCACUUAUUUUUUAAAAGUGUUUUUGCAAGUGAUAACCAAAAAGUGGUUUAAUGCAUCCUAAGGCGCAUGCAUGUUGCUAAAAUGCUAAUUUAAGAAAAAAAAUCCUUCAAAAAAUAAAAAUAAAAUUAGUGGGUGUAUUUAACCACUAUCUAUAGAUAAAUGAUACUUGUAGAACUCUAUUUUGAUAUUUAUCAUGAAUAUUUAGAGAACUUUUUAUAUAUUAUAUCAAAUUUCAAUUCUAGUUUGUAAUAAUACAUUUAAAUAUGAGUAAAAUUAAUGCAUACAAAAAAAUUUAUGUUAUUCAUAGUACAAAAUAUUAUAUAAUAAAAAAAAUUCUAAUCCUUCUUUAUUUAAGAAAAAAGUCAAAUCUUGUUCUGAUUACAUGAGAAAAGAAAAGAAAAGAAAAAAAAAAAUCCAUUACAAUAAGUGACGUUGCCAGGACCCCGGAACAGGGGGUUCAAACAAUUUUUUUAAAAGUAAACAUUUGAAUUUUAAUUAUAAUAUAUAUAUAUAUAUAUAUAUAUAUAUAUAUAUAUAUAUAUAUAUAUAUAUAUAUAUAUAUAUAUAUAUAUAUAUAUAUAUAUAUAGAGAACAUAUCUAGUGAGAAUGAGUUUCUUAUGUGAGAAUAUGAGAAUGUUUUAUCAGCCAUUAGAUUAAAAAUAGAUGGUUGAGAUUAAAUAAUAACAUUCAAAUGCUCAUGUGUCUCUCCAUAGUCUAUUAUAUUUCCAAAAUCCAUUUCUCUUUCUUCUUCAUCGUGACUGGUAAUUUCUUUUCACCUUCUCACUCUUUGGAAUCCAAUUUUUGAUUAUGUUCUCUUUCCUUCAUCUUCACCAUGUAUUCUUCUUUAAUUAAUUUAGGACAUAUUGAUUUUUUAUUUUUUUAAAUUUCCAGCAAACCAGCAAAAGAAGAGGAAACAUCAACCAAUUGCAUCAAUACCACAGGAAGUAUUCAUCUCUAAACAAAUGAAAUCUGAAAACAGACGAAAAUCCCAAUUUUUAUGAUUUCAAUCCAACGCUAAACCAGUAAGGGAUCAUAAAAGGGGUUGUCUCCAACAUGAUUUCCAAUUUCCAUUUUUUUUCCAAAGAAAUUGUGUUUAUAUAGAUCCAAACAAACAAACAUAAUUGACCGUGAAUGGGUGUAGGAAGGUGGCGGCGGCACCUCAAAUCAGUGGUAGGAAGGUGGAGACGGCGGACUUUGCGCCGGUGAAGGUUGGGGUCGCCGGAGAAGAGGGUUGCCGACAGUAUGGGUGUAGGAAAGUGGUGGUGGCACCUCAAAUCACUGGUGGAAGGUGGAUACGGCGGACUUUGCGCCGGUGAAGGUUGGGGUCGCCGGAGAAGAACAUAGUUGUUGAGGGGUGAAGAAGAAACAGUAUCUCCCUCCAGAAGGAAGAAGAAAAAUCUCAGGAAGAAGAAAAGCUAACUAAUAGAAUGAAAAACGUAAAAAGAAUUGAGUGAGAUUUGGUUAACAUGCUCACUUUUAAUCUCAACCUUUACUUUUUAAUCUAAUGACUGAUAAAACAUUCUCACAUUCUUACAUAACAAACUCAUUCUCACUAGAUAUGUUCUAUAUAUAUAUAUAUAUAUAUAAUUACAUUAUAUUCAAUUUGCAAUGUAUGUGAAGAUAAAUAUAUAGUUACUUGACCAAAAAAAUUAAUACAAUUUGAAGGUCCACAAGUCCUAGGUCAACCGACAAAAUACUAUUUUUUUUUUCUUUUUGAGGAAAAAAUAUUAAAAUUGUUACGCUGAGUAAUGUAACCGUGAUUUAAAACACGACCUUCCAUUUAUGUAUGUGAGUGAGUUAUUUUUUUUUAAAGAAUGUAUGUGAGUGAGUUUGAAUCGUUGUGUAUGUGAGAUCACUAUGGUUUGGUGGCAUAGUUGAACAUUUGGAUAUUUUGUUACAUAAAUGUAUCGUUCUUGGCUUCCUGCACAUAUUGUGGUUUGUGGGAUUAUUUAUUUAUUAUGACAGUGUGAGUUUAACUUUAAUUUGUAGCUUGCACUAGUUGUGAUUGGACGGCUUGCUGUGUGUUAUAAACUCAUAGCAUUGUGCUCAGUGCUCACCAUGUACUACGAGAGAGGAGGAAAGAGUGUAAUGUCACGUGCAAUUCGGUGCAAACCAUAAUAUUAAGGGGAUUCAACACAUAAAAACAUAUAAUUUUAAGUGUAAAUAUUAAAAUUGAGGGGUUCACAUGCACACCCUCAAUGCAAUGUGGCUCCGCCAGUGAUUACAAUAUGUCAUAUGUUAGAUUUUAGACCACCCAAUAUGACCUAUUUUUAUCCUCAGAAGAAUUAAGACAUUUUCCCACGUUAAACCCCAUCCUAAUUAGAAAUGAUAUUUGUCGAAAAAUUCUUUCACAACAAGUAGCAGCACAUUCUCUCAGGCCAACCAUCGUACAAUUCUGAAGAAGCUAAAAUUGGUCAAAUACACAAAAUAACCAAUGGUCAUUUAAGAUACGAAAUUCAAUAAAAUUUAGAGUUCGUUUAGUUCAUACUUACUUCAUAGUCUCUCCACAUGGGGAGAAGUUGUGUUUACUGUGUGUGACUUCUUGUAAGGAAAAAUAUGGUUAGUAUGCUGCUUUAUUGAGAAAGUCUAUUGAAGAAUUUUGAUCUGUAUUAUUGUUGAUUUCCUUUUAUUUUUUCAUACUUAGUAAUUCCAUAAUAUAAAUUUUAUUUUCCUUAAUUUAUUUUAAUAUUUUUAUUUAUUACUAAUUUAAAAUCAAGGCUUUGAAAUUCACCUUUAUACCUUAUAUAUAUAUAUAUAUAUAUAUAUAUAUAUAUAUAUAUAGACAUAUAAACUAUUAAGUUUGUAUUUUAAAAACAAUGAAAAUGUUAAAAAAUUGUUUUUAUACUUUUCCAGUAAUUAGCAUUUUAUCUUUUAUUCACAAUGGUUUCCUUAGAUAGACUCAAAUAUUCAUGUUAGAAUUGAACUUUUUGAUCCGUGAUUAUCACAAAAAUCUAUAUAUAUAUAUAAUUUUAAUCAAAAUUUAAAUUUCAUAAAAAUUAUUUAUAAUUUACACUCGUUAACGUAAUAAAAGGACACAAAGUUUCCAUCAACUGUUAGUUAUACUAAAAGCGAUUAUUGUUGAGAAUAAAAGGGUCUAAAUAUCUCCUUUAAGAAAAAGUUUAAAUAUCUUCUUUAAAGAUUUCAAAUUUUAAUAUAAUUUAGACAUUCCUUCAAAAAAUAUAUAAUUUAGACAUAAAAUUAGAUAUCAUUAGGGUUUAUAAUUUAUAUUUUUGUUUAGAAUAUAUGUAGGAUUUGUUUUUUAAUUAAAUAUGUUUUGUAUUACAAUUUAUAUAUAUCCAUGAAUAAAAUUUUGAAGACACUUCUCCACUAAAAAACAGUUGUCCACAUAAAAUAUAUAUUUCAUAUAAUUUAUGUAAGAGUUAAAUAUGUUUUUGGUCCCUAUAAAUAUGUCAAGUUUUUGUUUUAGUCCCUUAAAUAUUUUUCAUCUUCACUUUUGGUUCCUCUUUUAAAGUAAACUCAUAUGUAGAAUUCAUAUUUUUGAAUGAAAUUUGGUAGAAAAAUCCAUAACAUUAUAAGAUUCUCUAAAAAAAAAAAGAAUUUUUUAUUAAAACAUGAAUUUAAUAUGAAUUUUUAUAUUUUUGAAGGUUAAAAAUUAAUAUUUAAUUUUUGUUUUGUUAAAAAUAAAUAAAAAAUUUUUGGGAAUUUUUUUACAAUACUCUACACAUUUCUGCAUAAUUUCAUUUAAAAAUACAAAAUUAACUUAAAAAUAGGGAUCAAAAGUAGUGAUUGAAAAUUUUAUAGGGACUAAAAAGAAAAGUUGAUAUAUUUAUAAGAACUAAAAACAUAUUUAACCCUUUAUGUAAUAAAAACGAAAAAAAAACUCCAUCAAUGUUAUCAUCACAAUCAAGGUUUAUACUCGGAUUUGUGAAGAAGAAUAAGAAGAAAUCAAUUAACAAACAAUGAUUAAAUUUUCAUGUGUUACAUGAAGAUAUAUGGGGCUUACAAGUUAUAACCAACAAUCAAUGACUACAUCUUCAUGUGUUAUGUAUGACUUAUAACCAACAACCAAAUGGCUACUUCUUCAAUACAUGAAGCAACUUCAUGAAGAUGUAAACAAACAACCAACAACCCAAAACAUGCUCAUGUAAUAUAUGAAGAUGUAGAUGAACAACAUCAAUGACUUAAAACCUACAUACUUAUUUGUCAUAUGAAACAUAAAAUACCCAUGUUUCACAAAUCAGACUCUGCAGCGAGAGUGAUAGAGACUAUAACAACUUUGUUUAAAAUAUGUUGUUUUUGUUUUAGUUUUUAGUUUAUUAUUUUAUUUUGAAAAUGGAUAAACUAGCAUGAAACCUAUUAAAAGACCAAAUUGUGUGUAAUUUAUGUGGGUCGUGCAAUCCGAAAAAGGUGUCAUGCCAAGCAUCACCGUUUCUUCACAUAAAAAUAUAUAUCAUAAUUUACCCAAUAGAAACACACACAAAAAAAAAGGGAAAUAUUUAUAUGCACGACAAAAUAUUUCGUUGUAUUUGCACGAAGGUCAUUUGAUCCUGGCUCUCUUAAUAUUUUUUUUGAAGCAAACUGACCCAUUAAUUUAAUGAUGCACUUUUCCAAAAAGAAAUCACAAAUUAAGGAUCAUGUGGUGGUGAAUGGUGAAUUUCCAAAUCAUAUACUCAUUGUGUUUUGCUUUUCUAAUACUACCAAUAUUUAUCUUCAUUUUUUUGACAAAAGAUACUAUAAUGAAUAAAAAGGCUUGUAAACCGUUGCUGUGAAGUAUUUGGGUGUUUUUUUGACAAAGUAGUUUUGACAUGUUUAUUUUUACAAAGCAAAGAAUUUGUAUUCAUGUGCUUGUUGUCGUGCAAACUGGAUGUCGUGCUAUAUAGCACGGCUCAAAAAAAUACGUCAAUUAUAAGAUCAAGUAAUUUAUAAAUUUUUAUUUUUAUUUAAAUGUGAAGAAGAAACUUAUUUGUGUGUUUAUAACAAACAAACAAAAAAACUAUAGAAAACAUCUUGUUAAUCUUCAGUCUGAUUUACCACAACAAAUGAGUCAAGUGACAAAAUUGAAACUUGUUGUUAAGAGAGAUAGACAUAUUUUACAUAUGUGAAUAGUAUGUGUUCCCUUAACCAUUUUGACAAGUUCGAUCUCUAAUCGGUACAUACAGAAAAACAUAUAUUAGGAGGAUCUACCUUUCUAAUGGUGUCAAACACACACUUAGUCAUGUAUAAAAUCUCACGAUAGAUAACAUUCAACUAUGAUAUGACUUGUGGAUCAUAAUUCAUAACUAUCAUAACAUCAUGAUGUCAAAAACAACUCACAUAUUCAACUCAACAACGAAUAUCACCCCCAAAAAAAUUAAUCAAGCAUUCUUGAGAUCAUGCAAAUCUUCUACAAAUCCUAUCAAGUUUUGAUCAAACUACCCUCCCCACUUUGUACAACUCACUCUUGAAACGUAAAAUUUUGGUAGCUUGAAGUUUGGCCUUACUUCUUUUUGAAGGUGACCAUACAGAAAAAUGCUAUUGCGUGACCAAUUAAAUGAAUAUAAACACGCCAAUUAAAUGAUGUGCCACAUAAUUAAUGGGUGAGUUGUCCCACAAUUAAUUUGAGUCAAAGUCCAUUUAAUUCGUCCUAUAAUUACUUGUAUCGAUGUUGGUGUUGAACACGAUACACACCUUCUAUAUUGAGCUUGAACACAAGUGACAUAUUUGAUCAGAUGUUGUAAAGUAUGGCUUGUGGCAUUUAGAUAGAUAUUACUUAAAAAAAAUUAGAUAUACCAGUGACAUAUCGGCAUAGAAGAAUAUAGUUUGGAAAAAUUUAUUAAGUAGGUCUAACUGUGGCGCAGUGGCAGUAUUUUUGCCCUACUAUUAAUUCUAAGAAGAGACAUUUCAUUAUUUUGGGAGUAAAAAAAAAUGCAAAAAAAAACAGCUUAUAUUAUUUAGAGAUAAUCAAGAAAUUAUUAGACAAUGAUGAAAGUAAAUGUUGCCUUUCGAAAGUAGAAGCUCCGUUAUUAUUCUCACGAUUGGGACAAUGACUUCAACGAUACCGGUUCGAUAAACCUCAAUACUCAACUCAUAUUAUUUUUUCAAGAGGAAUGUAGUAGGACUUAUCACUUAUAAUUAGUUAUAAGAUAUCUGAAGGAUUCAACCCUCGCACACUCUCUUUCUUUUACAACUAAGUUAAAUUCAGUUAUUUAUUUCUGUUACUAGUUAGUUGAUUUAGAGUUACCUAGCUUAUAAAUACAUACUAGUAUUCUGUUGGGCUCGACGAGCUUAACGCAAGUGUAAAUUAAAAUUCCAAAAUCCAAAAAAGACUGGAUCUUGCAGCGCAGCGGUAGCGAUAAAAAAAAUGAACACCAAUAUUUAACGUGGAAAACCCUCUAAUACCGAGGGAAAAACCACGGGACAAACUCCGAAAAAUAUUCCACUAUAUUAAAGAAUAUUACAAUAUUUUCUCCACUCUCUCACACACACAAGAGAUACAAUAUAGUGUUUUCCGUGAGACCUACUUCUAUUCUAAUGCUAUUAUUUUAUAGCACCUAGAAGUUAUAGAGAUGAUACCCACCCGAUGUAUUUUUCCCACACUCUCUGGAUUUACUCAACACUCUAUUUUUCCUCUCACACACUUCUACACACACAGAAGCUUUGUAUUUUCACUUCUGCUUCAAUGCUUUCCUUCACUAUCAUUGUCUCUAUUUAUAAGAGAAAUGAAGCCGUAAGAGUUGGAUUUGGUUCACACACUCUUACACUAAAAGUCACACAACAAAAGUGUGAAACCUGUAACAAUAGCAAACCUUCAAACUUGUGUGCACCGAAAGGCUAGGCUAUGUUCUGCAAGCUAAAGUGUAGCUUUACUGUUGGAAAGAAAACUCAUAUGUGCAUUUAAUGUAUAGAAGACUUUGGCUAGGAAAUUGCUUCAUGCAUUUUUCCUUUGGCUGGAACAUACCCCACGUGGUGG
rnacentral:lncRNA from 1 species